rnacentral:lncRNA from 1 species
UAACAUCCAUCAGUAGAUGUCUAAUCACAUAACAUCCAUCAGUAGAUGUUGUCAUUCAUCAUCCUCAUCAUAGCAAUACCCAUCAAUAGAUGUUGUGGAAGCAUCCAUCAAUAGAUGUUGUCAUUACUGCCAUCAGAAGUAGCAUUAACCUAAAAAAAAAGAACUCAAACACACAAAAACAAACUCAAAUCCAAAUCUCACAAAUAAUAAAUUAAAAAGAAAAAAUAAAAAAAAAUAAAACAAAGAAGCAAGUGGUGCGAGGUAAGAAGGUUGUGCUGCCGGUGGCGCAAGCUGAGCCACCUACUUUGGUAGUUAGAAGGCUCAAUUAGUUUUCUCUUAUUAGGGACACUAGGUAUACUUGGAUCUAGGACGAGGUGACCUUCUAUGCCUCUAAUCUCGUUAUAAAGGUAAGGGUAGCUACUUUCAACUUCUUUCUGGGCGGGCUCAUCGUCCUUCCUUAUUCCUUUAACGAUAGGGC